CAAGGUUCUCAGGGCGGGGUGAAAGUCCCCACCGGCGGUGAUGGUGGCUUACUACACGUUUGUCAUCUAAGCCCGCGAGCGCUCAAGAUUGUUGUUUUUUUUAUUGCAGCUUCUUGAGGUCAGCAGAUUCGGUGAAAAGCCGAAGCCGACGGUGAUAGUCCGGAUGAAAGAGAACGGCA
rnacentral:ncRNA from 2 species